UUUCCAUUCUCGCUGAAGGAGCAAAUUUUCAAUCAAUUUAAGCAACUGUGUAUGGGAACACCGCUAUAGCGCGGAAGUGGAUGCAAAUUUCCAUCACAAAGCUCGCAAGCGAUUGUCGCAUACUUUCUUCAAAGCUAGAAAGAAGAACAAGAAGCCUAACUGGUUACUUCAAAAUUUAUGGGAUGAUUUGCAAAGGCAAUGGCUUACCUCAAAGUUCGUAGAGAAGAGCGAAAAAGGAAAGAAAGCUCGCGCCUCUGAGAAGAAAGGCUCCUUGCAUACUAGAGGUGCGAUCAACGUAGGGACAAUAAAAAGAAGAUUGGAAGAAGUUGGGGCAUCCAUUGAAUCAUGAUGAGCUAUUCAAGGAGACACAUAUUGUAAAGAAGAAGAAAGAGACGGAUCAAGAAAGGUGGCUCCAGGACCAGGCCUCGACUGUAUAUGGUCGCUACCAAACUAAUGUGGAGGAAUUCAUCCGCACUCAGUCAGCUGGUGAAUCGGGCGAGCCAACCCAACCUUCGGACGAGGAUGCUGAAAGAAUAUGGAUGGAGUCUGCUGGCGGUCCAAAAUGGGAGAAGGUAUACGGGCUUCCUACUAAGAAAUUCCAUCGAUAUAAGUGUGAAAUGAAAGGAAUAGGGACUUCCUCGCAAGGCGAUCAA